UUCUCACUCUUCAAUUGUUCUGUCAACUCUUCGAUUUCAGUGCCCACAGCCUGGAUGGAAUGCUCAAGCUCCUGAAGCAAAGAGUCGACAUCCAAGGACGCCAUCUUUCUUAGGAAAUAGUCUAUGGGUGAUGAAGUCCUCAGGCUCUCCAGCACCUUAGGAUGUGAGCAUAGCCGGCAAGGAAGAACCAAGUGAUGUAUUUCGUCGGCUUCCACAGGAGGAAAGCUGGCAGCGUGUCCUUGAAUCAGGUAUUUUCUUCGGCCGUGAAAAUCAUCUUGCAGGGACACUCUGUGGCUUUGAAUCUUCGGUUUGAUCGCAGCCUUGUGGAGCUCUAUCUCCACACCGAGGAGCUGAGUGUGCAGCUAUAGGCUCUCACGAGGAUUUGUUCCAUAGGUGGCCAUGACAAGGAAAAGAAAGCAGCGUUUACCACCACCAGCGAUGAAAUGCUGGAGACGCUCAAUGCCUUCCCGAAGGGAGCUGACUUGUUGCUCAUAAGUGUUUGCUCGGAUAUAUGAGCUAUAUGUGCAUAUACUGUGCUGAUCUAAAGGACCCGCACGGAGAGUUUAUUCUGGAGAAAGCAUCAAGGCCACGGCAAUCUCAGACAGCCAUGAAAAGUAGCUAGAAGGUCCAGAUUUAUUUUCAUCACGUCCUAGACUUCUGUGUGAAAUGUCCAUCCUCUAGGUCUGGGCUGGCGUUAAUACUCCUGUUUUCUUGGUGGACGUAUCAUCCCAAAUACUGCAUACAUGACAACAGUUGGAAGUCCUAAAGCAUCAAGAGAUGUGUGAGUUUGCCCGGUAGUCUGAACAAGUCAGAUGUUCCAAUCAUCUUGGUGGGGUCUCGCUGCUCCAAACGGAGUUAUCUUACCCCUGUUUGGGCUUCCAUGUAGACUGUCUCGUCACCUGACAUUGAGCCAUUGAAAUGCAGAGCUCAAGGCCCACGUCUUUGGAAGCUUUAGUAGGACUUCCAACUGUUAUCU